UUUUCGCAAUGCCCGAAAGGGUGACGAAGCGACGCCGCGUGAGCGAAGAAGGCCUUAGGGUUGUAAAGCUCUGUCGAGGGUUAUGAAGUAUAGAUGGGUUAAUACCUCAUUUAUUUGACAAAGGCCCAAAAGGAAGUCACGGCUAACUCUGUGCCAGCAGCCGCGGUAAUACAGAGGUGGCAAGCGUUGUUCGGUAUUAUUGGGCGUAAAGAGCACGUAGGUGGUUUUGUAAGUCAGGUGUGAAAGCCUUCUGUUCAAAGGAAGAACGGCAUCUGAAACUGCAGAUCUUGAGUGUAGGAGGGGAGAGUGGAACUUCUGGUGGAGCGGUGAAAUGCGUAGAUAUCAGAAGGAACGUCGGCGGCGAAAGCGACUCUCUGGCCUAUUACUGACACUGAGGCGCGAAAGUUAGGGGAGCAAACGGGAUUAGAUACCCCGGUAGUCCUAACCGUAAACGAUGGGCACUAAGUAGAGGGGUUUUAA
rnacentral:rRNA from 1 species